ensembl:lncRNA
AGUACUUCUAAUAAACCAAACAGAAUGAGAGCUAUGGAGAGAUGGGAUAUAGUGAAUUAAAGCAUCUAUUCCACAGCUCAAGAAGAGCCCAUCCAAUUUUGGAGAGGACUUCCCCGGGAUAUAAGUAGCUAUUUAAACUUUAAUGACUUACACCACCUAUCUCAUUCACUUGGUGAUGCUAAUAAUAAACUGGCUAAUAAUUGAUCAGACACAGUGAUUGUCAGUAUAUGGCAUAAAUGAUGUUUAGGGCGUGGUUUGAAACUAAUGAGGUGCCAUGCAUGCCCAUGGGCUCGAGGGACAGACUGCCUAAUUUUGCUCUGUUUUGACAGCAGAGCAGAGAGCAGUCCUGUGAAGAUCACUGUUUUAUCAACUAAUGGGGAAAAUUACUUGAAUCUCAAAUGGGAGGUUGAUGGUGGCUCAGCUGGGUUGGCCCAGAAGAAUUUUAGCUUGCUGAGAAGCUGUGGGAGGUGGCCAGAGAGUCGGUGGGAAAGCAGCCUGACCCUGAAUAAGGGGUCUAUUGAAGUAGAAGACGGUCAGGAGCCACUCACAAAGGGCUAUUCAGGGACUGCAGAAAAGGUGAGAGACCCUGGCCUCCUGGAACUGUGAGGGGCCAUCCUAGAGGGGAGUGUGACUUGGAGGACUGGCUUUCCAGAAGAUAUCUUGCCUCUGAAGUUUAGACCGACAGGAUUUAAUUGGUGCAGCCCAUUCACAGGCUCUACUGGGAAAAUGUUAAUGCAUGUAACACAUGUAGACAGCAGCUUUAAAAUAUCAUUUAUCGAAGACAAGGGAAAAAAAAGAGAAAAAAAUCACUCUUUUCUUACUUCCACACCAAUAACACUUUGACCAUUUUGCCUUUUUUAGUAUUGAGACAAUGACCCUCUAGUGCAUCUUGCUUUUAUCAAUUUUUGAUAGUUUGUUUUACUUGUUAUAGAUUGGAUAAUGCAGUGAAAAAUUGAAGGUAUCAGAUAAAUUGAUUGUGACUCCAUGCUUGUAAGUUCCAAAUUUGCAGAAACUUACAAUGUAUUUUAUAAUGUGAAGGAUAAAGACUAUUUUUUUUUAAAAUCCAAAAGCUCUAGUUUACUUUCCUCAGUGAAACAGAAACCCUCCAGCUGGCAUCUCUUCCUGCAAGCUCAGCAGAGAGAAGGGGAGGAAAAAUUGUUCUAUUUUCUCACCUCCACAUGACAUCAUCCAUAGCAGGGUAGUGGCAAAUGGUUGAAGCAUGUUGCACAGUGCCCUACGGUGCUAAUCUCUCUUCUCAUAAAGCAGAGAUAUGCAGUCUAUGGUGUCACACAGAGGCAGGAUUAAGGGUGGAGCAAACAAGGAAAGAACAUGCCUUUUUUGUUACAUAGGUGAGCAAAGAGUCGCCAGGAUUUUGACUGGCAAAAGUCAUGCGUUUGCUGUUUUGCACAGAGAACUCCGUUUUAAGUUUGGCUCUGUGGGAUGCAGUGGGGACUGGAGCAAGGGGGCUGUUGAGUGUCUGCCCUUCACAGCUUCACCCAGAGCCGCGGGCUGGGACACGUGUUUGCUCCGGGUCAGUGCUUGAUGGUCCUCAUCGCCCCUUCUCCUGCCCUCUGCCCGACAGCCUCCCCUCUGUACUGAUCACUUCUCUGCCACGCAGACCUGCCGGUUCUUCCCCAGCUGCACACCUCUGAUGGGGCAGCACAGCUGACAGAGUGGAGUCUUAGCAUCAAGGGUUUUUGCCUUCAAAGGCUGCACUCUCUGCCUCCAACCCCUUUCCAGCCUCAUUUCCUGCCACUCAGUGGCAAGCACCUCUCCCCCACUCCCAGCGUCUGGACUUUCCAGACAACUAACUUGCCGAGCUCUAAGCAAGCCCUGUUCUUUGCUCCUUUUGUUUGGGCUCAUGCUUUUUUUCUUUGCCACUAGAUUCCUUUUCUCCAUUCCUUUGGCCUUUAAGGACCAGCACAAGCAACCUCCUCUCAGAAUCCUUCUGUGAGCAUCUCUGUCUGCUGGCAGAACUAAGAGCUUUUUCAACUCCGCUUCAGUCUGUUUCAUUUGCGGCCCUGGUUCACCUUUUAACACAAUUCUUUGUAUUUGUCUCUCCCACUGCUGGCCUCCUGCCACUCUUCUGGGGUAGGGGCUGUGUCUGUUUCAUGAUUUUAUCUCCAGUUUUAACAUGGUAUCAGACACAUAGUGCUUGCUGAAUGCUCUUGGACAAACUCAUUCAUUUAUAAAUAGGUUAUAGUUACUGGUGAAUUAAUAAAAAGUAAAGGUUUAGUUCAGUCACUCAGUUGUGUCCGACUCUGCAACCCCAUGAACCACAGCA